rnacentral:rRNA from 1 species
GCUUGCUACAUUUCCUAGCGGCGGACGGGUGAGUAAUGCUUAGGAAUUUGCCUAUUAGUGGGGGACAACAUUCCGAAAGGAAUGCUAAUACCGCAUACGCCCUACGGGGGAAAGCAGGGGAUUUUCGGACCCUGCGCUAAUAGAUGAGCCUAAGUCAGAUUAGCUAGUUGGUGGGGUAAAGGCCUACCAAGGCGACGAUCUGUAGCGGGUUUGAGAGGAUGAUCCGCCACACUGGGAAUGAGACACGGCCCAGACUCCUACGGGAGGCAGCAGUGGGGAAUUUUGGACAAUGGGCGAAAACCUGAUCCAACCCUGCCGCGUGUGUGAAGAAGGCCUUUUGGUUGUAAAACACUUUAAGUGGGGAGGAGGCUUACCUGGUUAAUACCUGGGCUAGAGUGGACGUUACCCCCCGAAUAAGCCCCGGCUAACUCUGUGCCCGCCGCCGCGGU